CGCCUGCCGGCGACCGGCGCACGGGUGAGUAACACGUAUGCGACCUGCCCCCCGCAGGGGGAUAACCGGGAGAAAUCCCGACUAAUACCGCGUAACGCCGCGGACCUGCAUGGGUCUGCGGCCAAAGGAAGCGAUUCCGGCGGGGGAUGGGCAUGCGGCGCAUUAGCUAGUCGGCGGGGUAACGGCCCACCGAGGCGACGAUGCGUAGGGGUUCUGAGAGGAAGGUCCCCCACACUGGUACUGAGACACGGACCAGACUCCUACGGAAGGCAGCAG
rnacentral:rRNA from 1 species